CGUGAUAUAGCUUAAUGAAAGCACCCCGCUUACACCGGGCAAAUAUCUGUGAAACCCAGAUUAUCUCGA
rnacentral:tRNA from 1 species